rnacentral:tRNA from 1 species
GGGCCAGUAGCUCAGUUGGUAGAGCACCUGCCUUUUAAGCAGGGUGUCCUGGGUUCGAGUCCCAGCUGGCUCA